UACGUAGGGUGCGAGCGUUAAUCGGAAUUACUGGGCGUAAAGCGUGCGCAGGCGGUUUUGUAAGCCAGAUGUGAAAUCCCCGGGCUUAACCUGGGAAUGGCAUUUGGGACUGCAAGGCUGGAGUGUGGCAGAGGAGACUGGAAUUCCUGGUGUAGCAGUGAAAUGCGCAGAUAUCAGGAGGAACACCAAUGGCGAAGGCAGCUCGCUGGGACGGUUACUGACGCUGAGACGCGAAAGCGUGGGGAGCAAACGGG
rnacentral:rRNA from 1 species